CUUUACUGUAGCCUGGAAUUGGGUUCGGGCUCUUCUUGCGCAGCCUAGGUGGGAGGCGUUGAAGGUUUUCUUUCGGGGAAACUGGAGCCAACAGUGAGAGACCACUCUGGAGGAGCUAGAAUUCUAAUGGCGAUCCUUGAAUCAGGACGCUUGACAGUUUCAGGCGGGCAGUUUGACUGGGGCGGUCGCCUCAUAAAAGGUAACUGAGGCGUGCAAAGGUUCCCUCAGGCUGGACGGAAAUCAGCCGUAGAGUGUAAAGGCAGAAGGGAGCUUGACUGCAAGACUUACAAGUCGAGCAGGGGCGAAAGCCGGCCUUAGUGAUCCGACGGUACCGUGUGGAAGGGCCGUCGCUCAACGGAUAAAAGUUA
rnacentral:rRNA from 1 species